rnacentral:rRNA from 1 species
AGCAGCCGCGGUAAUUCCAGCUCCAAUAGCGUAUAUUAAAGUUGUUGCAGUUAAAAAGCUCGUAGUUGAAUUUCGGGAUCAAUAUGUUGGUCGUGCCUUGGUACGUACUGGCAUUAUUGGUUUCUACCUUCUGAAGAACCUCGAUGUCAUUAAUUUGGUGUCUUGGGGAAUCAGGACUGUUACUUUGAAAAAAUUAGAGUGUUUAAAGCAGGCUCGCGCUUGAAUACAUUAGCAUGGAAUAAUGAAAUAGGACGUUUGAUUCUAUUUUGUUGGUUUCUAGGAUCGACGUAAUGAUUAAUAGGGAUAGUUGGGGGCAUUAGUAUUCAAUUGUCAGAGGUGAAAUUCUUGGAUUUAUUGAAGACUAACUACUGCGAAAGCAUUUGCCAAGGAUGUUUUCGUUAAUCAAGAACGAAAGUUAGGGGAUCGAAGACGAUCAGAUACCGUCGUAGUCUUAACCAUAAACUAUGCCGACUAGGGAUCGGAUGAUGUUAAUUUUUUAAUGACUCAUUCGGCGCCUUAC